rnacentral:rRNA from 1 species
AUUGAACGCUGGCGGCAGGCCUAACACAUGCAAGUCGAACGAGUGGCGGACGGGUGAGUAAUGUCUGGGAAACUGCUUGAUGGAGGGGGAUAACUACUGGAAACGGUAGCUAAUACCGCAUCCCAUCGGAUGUGCCCAGAUGGGAUUAGCUAGUAGGUGGGGUAAAGGCUCACCUAGGCGACGAUCCCUAGCUGGUCUGAGGGGAUGACCAGCCACACGGGAACUGAGACACGGUCCAGACGCCUAGGAGAGGCAGCAGUGGGGAAUAUUGCACAAUGGGCGCAAGCCUGAUGCAGCCAUGGAGAGUGUAUGAAGAAGGCCUUCGGGUUGGAAAGUACUUUCAGCGGGGAGGCGUUACCCGCAGAAGAAGCACCGGCUAACUCCGUGCCAGCAGCCGCGGUAAUUC